rnacentral:rRNA from 1 species
UGCCAGCAGCCGCGGUAAUACGAGGGGUGCAAGCGUUAAUCGGAAUUACUGGGCGUAAAGCGUACGCAGGCGGUUUGUUAAGCAAGAUGUGAAAGCCCCGGGCUCAACCUGGGAAAGUCAUUUUGAACUGGCAAACUUGAGUCUUGUAGAGGGAGGUAGAAUUUCAGGUGUAGCGGUGAAAUGCGUAGAGAUCUGAAGGAAUACCGGUGGCGAAGGCGGCCUCCUGGACAAAGACUGACGCUGAGGUACGAAAGCGUGGGGAGCAAACAGGAUUAGAUA